rnacentral:rRNA from 1 species
GACGAACGCUGGCGGCGUGCCUAAUACAUGCAAGUAGAACGCAGUUGCGAACGGGUGAGUACCGCGUAGGAAACUGCCUCAUAGCAGGGGAUAACCAUUGGAAACGAUAGCAAAUACCGCAUACUGGGAGAUGGACCUGUGUUGUAUAAGCCAGUUGGUUAGGUAAAGGCUCACCAAGCCGGAGAAACAUAGCCGAACUGAGAGGGUGAACGGGCAAACUGGGACUGGAACAAGGGCCAGACUCCUACGUGAGGCAACCGUAGGGGAUCUUCGGGAAUUGACGGAAGUCUGACCGAGCAACGCCGCGUGAUGUAAGAAGGUUUUCGGAUCGUAAAGCUCUGUUGUUAGAGAAGCGGUAACUAACCAGAAAGGGACGGCUAACUACGUGCCAGCAGCCGCGGUAAUAC